rnacentral:rRNA from 1 species
ACGCUCGACACCUACGUGAGGCAGCAGUGAGGAAUAUUGGUCAAUGGGCGCUAGCCUGAACCAGCCAAGUAGCGUGAAGGAUGAAGGCUCUAUGGGUCGUAAACUUCUUUUANAUAAGAAUAAAGUGCAGUAUGUAUACUGUUUUGUAUGUAUUAUAUGAAUAAGGAUCGGCUAACUCCGUGCCAGCAGCCGCGGUAAUCUGAGCGGGCUGGCAAGGC